rnacentral:rRNA from 1 species
GACGAACGCUGGCGGCGUGCUUAACACAUGCAAGUCGAACGGAAAGGCCCUGCUUUUGUGGGGUGCUCGAGUGGCGAACGGGUGAGUAACACGUGAGUAACCUGCCCUUGACUUUGGGAUAACUUCAGGAAACUGGGGCUAAUACCGGAUAGGAGCUCCUGCUGCAUGGAGGGGGUUGGAAAUUUUCGGCGGUUGGGGAUGGACGCGCGGCUUAUGAGCUUGUUGGUGGGGUAGUGGCUUACCAAGGCUUUGACGGGUAGCCGGCCUGAGAGGGUGACCGGCGACAUUGGGCCUGAGGUACGGCCCAGACUCCUACGGGAGGCAGCAGUGGGGAAUAUUGCCCAAUGGGCGGAAGCCGGAUGAAGCAACGCCGCGUGCGGGAUGACGGUCUUCGGGUUGUAAACCGCUUUCGCCUGUGACGAAGCGUGAGUGACGGUAAUGGGUAAAGAAGCACCGGCUAACUACGUG